UACGUAGGUGGCAAGCGUUGUCCGGAUUUACUGGGCGUAAAGGAUGCGUAGGCGGACAUUUAAGUCAGAUGUGAAAUACCCGAGCUUAACUUGGGUGCUGCAUUUGAAACUGGGUGUCUAGAGUGCAGGAUAGGUAAGUGGAAUUCCUAGUGUAGCGGUGAAAUGCGUAGAGAUUAGGAAGAACACCAGUGGCGAAGGCGACUUACUGGACUGUAACUGACGCUGAGGCAUGAAAGCGUGGGGAGCAAACAGG
rnacentral:rRNA from 1 species